GGAGGGAAACCGCGAGGGUUCGGCGGCUGCGGAGGCGCUGGCCAUUGGGCUGCACCGCCGCGCUCCUGGCCUGGCCCUGCGCCCGGGCCCGCCCGUCCCGCUUCCCCAGCCAGGUGAACAAGCCACCAGUCUGUGGUCAUCUGCGGUGGGAAGCUUUACUGGACAGGUCCUACAAGAAGCCAGGAACUGUCACUGGCCUACAGCCCAACCAAUGAGCUUAAAUCGAUCUCUGUGAUGAGCUCCAAUUACUGGUCUCAGGACCCUGCCUCAGCAUGGGUCUGGGGUUCCAGGAGAAAGAUAGGACAGUCAUACACCAGCCUUUUCCCUCAAGUGCUUCCCUCAGUGGAGGAAAGCCUGGUGUGCCCAUCCAAGGAGCACCACACCCUCGAGGCAAGGGGAAAGGCAGACAGGGUUUCUCUGUGUAGCUCUGGAUGUCUUAGACCUCACUCUGUAGAUCAGGCUGGCCUCUUAGAAGUCUGCUGAGGUCUGCUUUCUGCUCCCUGAUCGAGCGCACAUGCCUGGACCAGGUGGAUGUACAUGGUAGCCAUUCUGUACAAUCGUGCAACCGUGACAAUGCACCCAGGCUGGAGAGACCCAGUGAGUGCUACCUGCUGAACCAGAGGCUCAGGGACAGCAUUGCAAACAUGGCUUCCUAAGCUGCAAGAAUGUAAUUCGCCAAUUCAACAGGCAAGAGUAUAGGUGGAAGGAAAGGCAUGGAGGACUCCUAAAGAGGCUGCCAAUCACAGAGCUUGGGACCAAUCAGGAUUUUCCCUUCCUUGGUUG
rnacentral:lncRNA from 1 species